UAUUCCUUCAAGUGGUAUUAUUAACACCAAAGUAAGUAUGAAAUAAACAAGGCAGGUGCUUUAAGCAAAUAAGGCUUUCUCCGGUCCAUUUUGGAAGUGGAGGGUGUCGCAGCUGGAGUGGUAAACAAUCAUGGCUCGCUUGCUGGGACUUGGUUGCUUUAGCAGUUAUACAAACAAGGCAGGAUGAUUAUUUUUUUCCCCUCACCACGAUUUACUAACAUGCCACUGAGAUCAGCAGCUAGCAGCCCUGUCUGAGUGUGGUGCUUUUCAGAACACUUUGCAGUAAGUCCGAGGAGCUCUCUGCAAAUAGCCUCUUUAUGACAGAGAACAAGGUGAGUUGCUUCACGCUCUACAAGGCAGACAACGCAUCAAACAAACACGACCGGCACCGAGUCCAACUGGAGUGUACACGUCACUUUGUGUUAUUAGAGCCAUCGUUGUUGCUGGUACAAUAUUACAGCAUGCUAUCAAUUAAAAGUGCUGCAGGGCAUACUGUAUGUGCAUGUACUGUAUGCAGUAGUGAGAAGAAACAAAGUUUAAAAAAAUGCUAUUCUAAGGCACUGCAGGUACUAGCCUCAGAUGAUGACUCAACAUCAAAACAAUGGUAGUUGAGCGAUGUAAAGUCAACAACUACACUCAUUUCACAUGUAGGAAGGUGCCACCGUCGCCCAUCUUAGAGGACCUUAUAGCACGUUUCAAGCAACCCCCCCCCCCCCCUCCCAACAUGAUGAAACUACAUAAGCAUCUCCCAGCUGCACAGCUCAGAGGCUUCUUUCGGCAACUGAACCCGCUGACAGCUUGUGUGCUAAUCUCCAGCGAUUUCUCUCCGAGUCAUUUUCUUUAUUGUCUUUUGAAUGUGAAAGUUGCUGACUGAUCAUUCUGUUGUUCCACUU